rnacentral:lncRNA from 1 species
GUGAGCCGGAGAAAUGUCACUCUCACUACACUACAUUCUGUCUUCUUUCCAUCCUUGUUCCAUUCACCCUCUGUAGGUGACCAGUCUCUUUCAUUUCUGGUUUAUCCUUACUGCAUUUCUUUUGCACAAAUGUGCAGAUACAUGUACACUUUCUCAUGUCCUCUUCUUUCUUCUAUGAAGAGCUGUUUACUGUAGACACUCUUGGGCUUUGCUUACUUCACUGAACACUAUGUCCUGGAAUUCACUCCAUAUUCAUUCAUACAGCUCUUCCUCAAUUCUUUUUUAUAACUGCACACUGCUUCAUCUUAUUGAUGUGCCAUGAUUUAUUCAACCACUAAAUACUGGACGUUUAGGUGUUUCCAAUAUUUUGCAAUGAGAAACAAUGCUGCAAUGAAUAACCUUGUGCAUAUGUGUUUUAUUAUCAUCAGAAGUGCGUUUUCGGAGUGGAUCCCUAGAAGUGGGAUUGCUGGGUCAAAAGAGGUAAACAGAGGUUUACGACUUUAAUAACCGUGUGUACACUGAUGACUCUUGAGUCUACAUCUUCAGCAUGAACUAUCUAAGGUACU